rnacentral:rRNA from 1 species
AUUGAACGCUGGCGGCAGGCCUAACACAUGCAAGUCGAGCGGAUGAAGGGAGCUUGCUCCUGGAUUCAGCGGUGGACGGGUGAGUAAUGCCUAGGAAUCUGCCUGGUAGUGGGGGAUAACGUCCGGACACGGGCGCUAAUACCGCAUACGUCCUGAGGGCGAAAGGGGGGGAUCUUCGGACCUCACGCUAUCAGAUGAGCCUAGGUCGGAUUAGCUAGUUGGUGGGGUAAAGGCCUACCAAGGCGACGAUCCGUAACUGGUCUGAGAGGAUGAUCAGUCACACUGGAACUGAGACACGGUCCAGACUCCUACGGGAGGCAGCAGUGGGGAAUAUUGGACAAUGGGCGAAAGCCUGAUCCAGCCAUGCCGCGUGUGUGAAGAAGGUCUUCGGAUUGUAAAGCACUUUAAGUUGGGAGGAAGGGCAGUAAGUUAAUACCUUGCUGUUUUGACGUUACCAACAGAAUAAGCACCGGCUAACUUCGUG